GUGCUCGCUUCGGCAGCACAUAUACUAAAAUUGGAAUGAUACAGAAAAGAUUAGCAUGGCCCCUGCGCAAGGAUGGCACACAAAUUCAUGAAGCAUUCUAUUUAAAA
rnacentral:snRNA from 1 species